AUGACUUGGAAGGGCAUACUGAUUCGGGAGACCCUAAAGCCUGAAUCAAAGUCUGUUGUUCCAG
ensembl:miRNA Mir6983 microRNA 6983